rnacentral:lncRNA from 1 species
GCUGGAGUGCAGUGGCGAGAUCUCGGCUCACUGCAGCCUCAACCUCCCAAGGCUCAAACGAUCCUCUCGCCUCAGCCUUCUGAGUAGCUGGGAUCACAGAGGGGACGUGGCUGGUGGCUGGAGAAGCUGGAUUUGCCCUUUGAUGGUGGCCCUCUUGAUCCCCGGCUUGCUGAAGUCAAAGGAGAGGCUGUCGAUGCUGAGGCACGAGAGAAUUUGCUCCUGCUCCUCCAGAGAAAAUGGCUGGGACAGGCUGUUGAGGAAUAAUUCUGCAGGGAAAAGUGGAAGAUGGCUGUGAAAGACUGGGAGGAGGCUGGCUGUGUUUUCAGGGGUUCUUCCUGCACAGUCGGUAGAAGCUGAGCUGCUGGGGAAGGGGCUGGAAGAAAGCCCACACCGCAGGUAUCAGUAGCAAAUUCAAAAACUACAGAAUCAGCUCCAGAGGACUUUGUUAACAAGAAAGAGAAGAUUGAAAACAGCCCUGGGGCUACACCAACUCAAGAGCUCCCAGGCAAAGUGGCAUCCUGGACCCACCAUCUCUCCUACCCCAUCCUCAGUCGGUACUUCCCCAGGCACCGUUUGUUCUGGCAUGGGGCUAGUUCAGCCCUGGGACCACCCUCAUCCUUAUAACUACCAGCUGUCUUUGGUGAGGUGCAAGAUCUCUCUGGUUUUCUUUAUUUCAUUUUCAUUCCUAUAAUCACAGCCUUUUUUGUGCCCAUCCCUCAGGUGACAUUCUAUUAUGUUUGAUGUGUCAUUUUUGAUUUGGUUGUGUCCUUGCAAAAUGUGCGUUGUUUUAUUUAUCAAUUUAUUUUUAUUUUUAUUUUUUUAAAGAGAUGAGGUCUCAUCAUGUUGCCCAGGCUGGACUCCAACUCCUGGGCUCAAGCGAUCCUUCCACCUCAAUCUUCUGAGUGGCUGGGACUACAGAUGUGCGCCACCAUACCUGGCUAUUGAUCAAUUUUUAGUUUACCAAACAGGCAUUAUGUUCUGGGUCCCAUUCUGUGUCGGGUUCUCUUUUCACUCGGCACCAUGGCUUUAGGAUCCAUCCAUGCUGCUCUGUGAACGCCGAGUUGCUUUAACUGCUUGGUGCUCCAUGAGGCAUCCCCUUUUGUGUCUCUGUCCUCCCAGUGAGGGACCCCAUCGUACCCUACUCCCCUCCCACAAAGGAAGCUGUAGUGCGCGUCCUCAGGCGUGUCCCCAUAUGGAUCUGCUGGCAUUCGUUUGUCAGUGCACCCAGGGGUAGAAGUCCUUGGUCUCAGUCUGCAGACGUCUGCCUGAGUGCAGCCAGGUGCCCCCCCAGAGUGGGUAGCCUUGUCCACAUGCCCAUCAGCAGCACCUGAGGGGUCCCAACAGCCCUACAUCCCACCAACUUUCUGCUUUUUUCCAGUCAAAUGGCUCUUGAGUGUUACCUGGCUUUAUUUAUUUAUUUAUUUUUUGAGUCGGGUCUCUGUUGCGCAGGCUGGAGUGCAGUGGUGCAAUCAUGGCUCACUGCAGCCUCGACCUUCCAGGCUCAAACAAUCCUCUCACCUCCUGAGUAGCUAGGACUACACGCAUGUGCCACCAUGCCUGGCUAAUUUUUAAAUUUUUUUGCAGAGAAAGGGUCUUGCUAUGUUGCCCAGGCUGAUCUUGAACUCCUGGCCUCAAGCGAUCCUCCUGCCCCAGCCUCCCAAAGUGCUGGGAUUACAGGUGUGAGCCACUGCUCCCGGCCUGUCUUUAUUUUGUAUUCUUGGAUUCCUAGUGAGUUUGAGCCCCCUCUAUACAUCAUAACCCUUAUGAUACUAGUAAACAUAUAUUUUAUCUUUAACCCCAUUUCUGGCACAGAACUCCUAAAAGCCUUACUCUCCAAAAUGAUCUCUUUCUGUGUACUAAUGGAUUGACUGAAGGCUGGCAGCCCCUAGGUAGCUUCAAGAUGGGGGCUGGUCAUCAGAGAGACAUAGGCAGGAUUAGAGGGUUGGGACUUUCAUCCCACCAUCCCACGUACUGGGAGGGAAGGGGGCUAAAGGUUAAGCGGUUCGCCAAUGGCCAGUGAUUUAUUCAAUCAUGCCUACGUAAUGAAGCCUACACAAAAACCCAAGAAGACCGGGUUCAGAGAACUUCUGGUAGCUGGGCACAUGGAGGUUCCUGGAGGGUGCCAAGCCCUGGAAGCUCUGUGCUCCCUCCCACAUGCCUUGCCCUAUGCAUCUCUUCAUUUGUAUCCUUUGUAAUAUCCUUUCUAAUAAACUGGUAAAUGUAAGGAAGUGUUUCUCUGAGUUCUGUGAGCCACUCCAGCAAAUUAAUCAAUCCCAAGGAGGGGGUCAUGGGGUCCCUGACUUAUAGCCAGUUGGUCAGAAGCACAGGUAAACACGUGGGCCUGAGACUGGCAUGGCUAGGGGGUGCAGUCUUGGGGAUCGAGCCCUCCUGCUGUGGGAUCUGAUGCUACCUCCAGGUAGAUAGUGUUGGAACAGAACUGAAUUAGAGGACACCAAGCUAGUGUCUGCUGCAGAACUGAUUGCUGGCUUGGUGGGGUGGAAAUCCCCACACAUGUGGUCACAGGAGUCUUCUGGGUUGAUUGUAGUUGAGUGGGAGAAUGGAAAAAGCACUUCGAGUUUGCGUGUGAGUUUUCUCUUUCCCAUCUCCUGAGCGCUGCCUCUGGGUCCAGGCGUGGCACUGUCGCAAUCUCCCAACAACCCUGAGGCUGCUGCACCCCCAUAAUCCAGAGGGGGAAACUAAGGCUCUGAGGGGUGCCUUGCUCUGGACCUGCGCCCACCUGCCUCCUCUGUCCACCUCUGUCUUCUGCCCCCCGGGUCAGCCAGCGUGGGGCUCUUCCUACCUUGCUGUAGUG